UGUUCCUUCUUCCAUCAGGUUCCCUCUUUCAGUCUCCUCUUAAUGGAAGAGACGCUUUUGCAAUGGAAUCCCCAGGUAGACAGUAAUCUGCAGUACCAGAUAUGAUACUCUGUAGUGUUCAGGGCUGUGGCAAUGACACAUGAAAUCGGGAGCCAACUGGAAAUUCAGUUGCCGAAGCAAAAUUCACAACUGCAAGUGUAAGAUGAGCCCAAAGAGGUGUUCCUAGCAGAAGAGCUUGGAAGCUGCUAUUCAAGCCCGUUAAGAAAUGAAGGCACAGCUGUCAGUUGCU